UUGGAACAUCAAGAGAGAGCUCUGCUCCGCCAACCUGCCGACCCAGGCAAGGUGGUGACCCUGGAACCAGGGGAUGUGGCCAGCCCGGCAACCAAUUGGGUACCC
rnacentral:ncRNA from 2 species